rnacentral:rRNA from 1 species
GUGGGGAAUCUUGCGCAAUGGGCGAAAGCCUGACGCAGCCAUGCCGCGUGAAUGAUGAAGGUCUUAGGAUUGUAAAAUUCUUUCACCGGGGACGAUAAUGACGGUACCCGGAGAAGAAGCUCCGGCUAACUUCGUGCCAGCAGCCGCGGUAAUACGAAGGGGGCUAGCGUUGCUCGGAAUUACUGGGCGUAAAGGGCGCGUAGGCGGACAGCUUAGUCAGAGGUGAAAGCCCCGGGCUCAACCUUGGAAUUGCCUUUGAUACUGGCUGUCUUGAGUUUGGGAGAGGUGAGUGGAACUCCGAGUGUAGAGGUGAAAUUCGUAGAUAUUCGGAAGAACACCAGUGGCGAAGGCGACUCACUGGCCCAAUACUGACGCUGAGGCGCGAAAGCGUGGGGAGCAAACAGGAUUAGAUACCCUGGUAGUCC